UGUAGGACGUGGAUGGGGAUGUGCGAUCUGGAGAGGCCACAAGGAGGGUGCUGGUUCUUACACACAAGGUGACUGUUUCUCUUGUCCGCUGCUCCCGGGAGCCCCCACGAACUGGAUCUUGAGACAGGGGCCAGAAAAGCUGGACUCCUCCUUCCACUCGGGAAUGCGAAGACUUCCUUCAGGACUUCGGACGGCUUUUAAGUUGUCUCCACUGGGGAAGUCGGCUGUGCAGAUAACUCAACAGAAGCGAAGCUAAAGGAAGACAAAAACGAAUUCCAGUAUUUUCUCUGAGUGUAAGGAAAAAAGAUCUGAAAAAACCCAAUGCUCGACCGAAUAGGAAUGGAAGGAAAUUUUGGCACUCCAACAUAAUGGAAUACAAGAGAGAGAGAGAGAGAGAGAGUGAGCAUGAG